UACGUAGGGUGCGAGCGUUGUCCGGAAUUACUGGGCGUAAAGAGCUCGUAGGUGGUUUGUUGCGUUGUCCGUGAAAACUCACAACUCAAUUGUGGGCGUGCGGGCGAUACGGGCAGACUGGAGUACUGCAGGGGAGACUGGAAUUCCUGGUGUAGCGGUGGAAUGUGUAGAUAUCAGGAAGAACACCUGUGGCGAAGGCGGCUAGCUGGGCCAAUACUGACGCUGAGACACGAAAGCGUGGGGAGCAAACGGG
rnacentral:rRNA from 1 species